CAGAAUUUGACUAUAACAGCUAUAUACAGCUAUAACAUCCGGGUAUACUGCAUGACGUAUAUAAACAAGGGCUGGACGUUAAAUAAACUACAUUAUAUUUCACACACACAUACGUGUAAAACAUUAUACAAGCUCCAGAUACUGGUCCAGAUACUGGAUUGAGAUACAUCGAAUAUAAUACUUUCAAGAUGGUUGUCAAAAUGAAAGUAGGAAUCUCUCUGCUGCUUAUUGGAUUUUUAAUUCUUGGAUUAUCUUCUGCAGACCACGACAAAGAGUCUCCUCUUAUUGACAGUAAACAGGCCAAAACCUUUCACCGUGUGAAAAGAAGUGGAUGGCUACGGCCUAAUGCUAAUGAACACCCUCGUGAGAUGGUGGAGCAGGCACGUGAGAUGAUGGAACAACGUCAUGAGAAUUGGUAUCGAAGAACAACUUACGCCAAUUGACCACCUUCUUGUUUCUCUGAAAUCAUGUUCUAAGGAAAUAUUCAACUGAUAUAUAUAUCACUUUCAACUGUUCAGUGUUUUAUGUUUUUGAACCUUAAAUAAACAUUAUAAUUAAUGUUAAAGGCUCAAUACCACUCUUGUUGUAACUGAAUAAUAUGUCCCAAUCUUUAUUCUGGUAAACAAAUUGUACUAUUUUACAAUAUUCCAAUUAAUUGAUGAUACAAAUUUCAUCUUAACACACCUAACUUAAAAAAUUGGAAAAAUUCAACUAAAUGAUUUGAAAAGCCUGACGUAAAGCUUUUCAAAUGUGACUUGGAUUUAAUGGAUAAUUUACACAACAGAUAAGACACUAAGACAUUUAGUACUUAGAAUAAGGCUAUUUUUUUUAUUUUUUGGAGCUGUCAAGCCAGCAAGAGUGUUAUUGUCCCUUUAAAUGAAUACAUAAAAAUGAUGAUUGAUAAUAAAUAAUAUAAAUAAUAUAAAUAAUAAAAAUAUGAAA